rnacentral:rRNA from 1 species
AGCGGCGGACGGGUGAGUAAUGUAUAGGGAGCUGCCCGACAGAGGGGGAUACCAGUUGGAAACGACUGUUAAUACCGCAUAACGUCUACGGACCAAAGUAUGGGACCUUCGGGCCAUAUGCUGUCGGAUGCACCUAUAUGGGAUUAGCUAGUUGGUGGGGUAAUGGCUUACCAAGGCGACGAUCCCUAGCUGGUUUGAGAGGAUGAUCAGCCACACUGGAACUGAGACACGGUCCAGACUCCUACGGGAGGCAGCAGUGGGGAAUAUUGGACAAUGGGCGCAAGCCUGAUCCAGCCAUGCCGCGUGUGUGAAGAAGGCCUUCGGGUUGUAAAGCACUUUCAGCGGGGAGGAAGGGUGUUGUGUUAAUAGCACAGCAUUUCGACGUUACUCGCAGAAGAAGCACCGGCUAACUCCGUGCCAGCAGCCGCGGUAAUACGGAGGGUGCAAGCGUUAAUCGGAAUUACUGGGCGUAAAGCGCACGUAGGCGGUAUGUUAAGUUGGAUGUGAAAGCCCCGGGCUCAACCUGGGAAUUGCAUUCAAAACUGGCAUGCUAGAGUAUGUGAGAGGGGGGUAGAAUUCCAAGUGUAGCGGUGAAAUGCGUAGAGAUUUGGAGGAAUACCAGUGGCGAAGGCGGCCCCCUGGCACAAUACUGACGCUC